rnacentral:rRNA from 1 species
UAGGGAAUCUUCGGCAAUGGACGAAAGUCUGACCGAGCAACGCCGCGUGAGUGAAGAAGGUUUUCGGAUCGUAAAACUCUGUUUUUAGAGAAGAACAAGGACGUUAGUAACUGAACGUCCCCUGACGGUAUCUAACCAGAAAGCCACGGCUAACUCCGUGCCAGCAGCCGCGGUAAUACGUAGGUGGCAAGCGUUGUCCGGAUUUAUUGGGCGUAAAGCGAGCGCAGGCGGUUUCUUAAGUCUGAUGUGAAAGCCCCCGGCUCAACCGGGGAGGGUCAUUGGAAGCUGGGAGACUUGAGUGCAGAAGAGGAGAGUGAAAUUCCAUGUGUAGCGGUGAAAUGCGUAGAUAUAUGGAGGAACACCAGUGGCGAAGGCGGCUCUCUGGUCUGUAACUGACGCUGAGGCUCGAAAGCGUGGGGAACAAACAGG